CCCUGGUAGCAACAGACUGCAGGAGCACAAUGUGGGUAAUUUAGAAAGAGAUUGAAAGAUGACUUGAUCAUAACAAAAACAAAGGUCAACAUGACCCUCUGGCUUGGAAGAGCGAAGUCACCAGAAAAAGCAAAACACAUUCCCGUGGUCCGGGCAGGAGAAACGGCAUGUGGCAAGGGUGAAUUGAUGUUGGAUUUCAUUUUGCUGUGAGAAAUAUUCUAUUUCCUCUUCUCUGAUAACUUAAUAAGUGUUGGGCCAGACUUUGAAACCAAAGGUUUAUCCCAGCGUGAGACCAGCAGAAGAGUAAGAUGCACACCUGAAUACCUAUUCACUACAGCAGUGCAAAUCUGCUCUGCUCUGGAUUCACACCAGAUUUACUCUGGUGUAGGAAUCAAGCUACAGCUGUGUUUUAGAGAACAUACAGAUGCAUGUCUAGCUGCUGUGGACUGAUGCAGCUUCAUGAUGUAGACCGAGUGAAGGUGGAGAGCGAGCUGGUCCCUCCUAAGGUGCAGGCCAUGCCCUGGAGGUGCCUCUCUGCCCACUGGCCACUGAGAAGCAUAGAUGGCUACUUGGACGAUACAGUUAUUUUAACAGAGCCAGCCAGUUGUCUCGACCCACAUUGCACAUCCCUUCUCACUGGUGGGUGAAAAUCCAUAUGCAGCUGUCAUUCCUGCUUAUAGUAUUUGUGGAAAUUCAUCGGCUGCCCUGUGACGAUGAUUUUCCACCUGCCUUGUUGAUCUCAUGCAGAAUAAACCAAGUAUAAUCAGGGACUAGAAUUCAAUAAAAAAAUAGACUGGCACUCUGCAAGAUGCACUGACUCGGCAUUCUGCAGAUAUGACCUUGGGAAAGGUAACGCAAGACUGCUUUAGA